rnacentral:rRNA from 1 species
GACGAACGCUGGCGGCGUGCUUAACACAUGCAAGUCGAACGGAAAGGCCCUGCUUUUGUGGGGUGCCCGAGUGGCGAACGGGUGAGUAACACGUGAGUAACCUGCCCUUGACUUUGGGAUAACUUCAGGAAACUGGGGCUAAUACCGGAUAGGAGCUCCUGCUGCAUGGUGGGGGUUGGAACGUUUCGGCGGUUGGGGAUGGACUCGCGGGUUAUCAGCUUGGUGGUGGGGUAGUGGCUUACCAAGGCUUUGACGGGUAACCGGCCUGUGAGGGUGACCGGCCACAUUGGGACUGAGAGACGGCCCAGACUCCUACGGGAGGCAGCAGUGGGGAAUAUUGCACAGUGGGCGGGAGCCUGAUGCAACAACGCCGCGUGCGGGAUGACGGCUUUCGGGUUAUAAACCGCUUUCGCCUGUGACGAAGCGUGAGUGACGGUAAUGGGUAAAGAAGCACCGGCUAACUACGUG